AAUACUAAGAACUUGUCAAGAAUGUAUAAUUUGCUGCUGAAAUGGAAUACACAAGAUGAAACAGUUAAAUCAGCUAUGAUUAAGUGGGCACAGGACAUUGGUCAUAACAUUAUGUUUGCUGACUGGGAAUGGUUGUGGAACACCGGUAUAAAAUUUACGGCAUGUAAUGCCAUAAAGGAAAAUAUUAUGAAAAUGAUCUAUAGGUGGUACAUGACUCCAGUCAAGCUAGCAAAAAUUUAUCAUUUGCCUGAUAAUAAGUGUUGGAAGUGUAAAGAAACUGAAGGUACUUUUUAUCACCUUUGGUGGACGUGCCCAAAGAUUAAGGCUUUCUGGGAAAUGAUAUAUAAUGAAUUAAAAAAGGUACUUAAAUGUACUUUCCUGAAGAAACCAGAGGCCUUUCUCUUGGGCAUUGCCGGCCAAUUGGUAUCAAAGAAAGAUAGAACUUUUUUUAUGUAUGCUACGACAGCAGCAAGAAUACUCAUCGCAAAGUAUUGGAAGACAGAAGAACUACCCACCUUGGAAGAGUGGCAGAUGAAGGUUAUAGACUAUAUGACAUUGGCGGAGAUGACUGGCAGAAUCCGUGAGCAGGGGAAAGAGACGGUGGAAGAAGAUUGGAAGAAAUUUAAAAUCUAUCUAAAGAACUAUCAUAAAAUUGAGGAAUGUUAAAAUGUCGAGGUUUGGAGAAAGAAAAGGAGAUUACAGCGACAUAAGAUUAAGUUG